GCUAACGCGUGAAGUUGACCGCCUGGGGAGUACGGUCGCAAGAUUAAAACUCAAAGGAAUUGACGGGGACCCGCACAAGCGGUGGAUGAUGUGGAUUAAUUCGAUGCAACGCGAAAAACCUUACCUACCCUUGACAUGUCUGGAAAGCCGAAGAGAUUUGGCCGUGCUCGCAAGAGAACCGGAACACAGGUGCUGCAUGGCUGUCGUCAGCUCGUGUCGUGAGAUGUUGGGUUAAGUCCCGCAACGAGCGCAACCCUUGUCAUUAGUUGCUACGCAAGAGCACUCUAAUGAGACUGCCGGUGACAAACCGGAGGAAGGUGGGGAUGACGUCAAGUCCUCAUGGCCCUUAUGGGUAGGGCUUCACACGUCAUACAAUGGUCGGGACAGAGGGUCGCCAACCCGCGAGGGGGAGCCAAUCUCAGAAACCCGAUCGUAGUCCGGAUCGCAGUCUGCAACUCGACUGCGUGAAGUCGGAAUCGCUAGUAAUCGCGGAUCAGAAUGUCGCGGUGAAUACGUUCCCGGGUCUUGUACACACCGCCCGUCACACCAUGGGAGUGGGUUUCACCAGAAGUAGGUAGCCUAACCGUAAGGAGGGCGCUUACCACGGUGGGAUUCAUGACUGGGGUGAAGUC
rnacentral:rRNA from 1 species